AUAGAGACUCAGAGCUGCAUAUCAAUAAGCGGAGGAAAAGAAACUAACUAGGAUUCCCUUAGUAACGGCGAGUGAAGCGGGAAGAGCUCAAAUUUGAAAUCUUCAAGGUUCUACCUUGACGAAUUGUAGUUUAUAAGAAGUGUUUUCUGUUAGUAGAGUGGCUAAAAGUUCUUUGGAAUAGGACAUCAUAGAGGGUGAGAAUCCCGUAUUUGGUACAUUUCUUCUAGCUGUGUGAUACACUUUCAACGAGUCGGAUUGUUUGGGAAUGCAGUCCAAAAUGGGUGGUAAAUUUCAUCUAAAGCUAAAUAUUGGCGAGAGACCGAUAGCGAACAAGUACCGUGAGGGAAAGAUGAAAAGAACUUUGAAAAGAGAGUUAAACAGUACGUGAAAUUGUCAAAAGGGAAGCGUUUGACACCAGUGUUGUUUUUCCGAAAAUCAAUUACGAAUGUUUUAGUUUUUGAGAAGUUAUGACUUCAUCGGCUUGCUUCUCUCUUUAUGAAACUUUCUUAAUGCACUUUUCGGUUAACAAGUCAACAUCAAUUUCUUUUGUUGUAAAAGGGUAUGAGGAAGGUGGCUUUCUUUUCGGAGAAAGUGUUUAUAGCCUUGUACCUCUGCAACCGGAGAGACUGAGGUCUGCAGCGUAGACUCUUCGGGGUUAGAUACAUUUGUGCUAAGCUAUAGCUUUUUAUAGACAACUUGUUGACUAUAUUUAGUCUUGUGGCUUACUCGCUUAUGCUAUUUUACCUACGCUUAGGAUGUUGAUAGUCACAGCGUGUAC
rnacentral:rRNA from 1 species